UGGGGGAUAUUGCACAAUGGGCGAAAGCCUGAUGCAGCGACGCCGCGUGGGGGAUGAAGGCCUUCGGGUUGUAAACUUCUUUUGCUCUGAACAAGGCAUGCUAAUGGGUGUGUUGAGUGUAGGGGUUGAUUAGCGCCGGCUAACUACGUGCCAGCAGCCGCGGUAAUACGUAGGGCGCGAGCGUUGUCCGGAAUUAUUGGGCGUAAAGGGCGUGUAGGUGGCUGGUUGCGUCUGUCGUGAAAGCUCAUGGCUUAACUGUGAGUUUGCGGUGGGUACGGGCUGGCUUGAGUGCAGUAGGGGAGGCUGGAAUUCCUGGUGUAGCGGUGGAAUGCGCAGAUAUCAGGAGGAAUACCGGUGGCGAAGGCGGGUCUCUGGGCUGUUACUGACACUGAGGAGCGAAAGCAUGGGGAGCGAACAGG
rnacentral:rRNA from 1 species